rnacentral:misc_RNA from 1 species
AACGCACAUUGCGCCCUUUAGUAUUCUGAAGGGCAUGCCUGUUCGAGCGUCAUUAUCACUAAUCAAGCCCGGCUUGCUGUUGGACCUUUUGUCGUAAAAAGACAGGCCCUAAAGAUAAUGACGGUGUCUUUUUGACCCUAGAUACAACGAGCUUUAAUUAGCACGUAUCUAUAGUGGACUUUUGGACCCGGUCUUUUGUAACCAAUUUUUUCAGGUUGACCUCGGAUCAGGUAGGAAUACCCGCUGAACUUAA